rnacentral:tRNA from 2 species
GUUAAGGUGGCAGAGCCCGGUAAUUGCAAAAGGCCUAAGCCCUUUCAACAGAGGUUCAAGUCCUCUCCUCAACU